CAGAAUGCCAAGAGAUCCUAACUGAUGAAGUCUCUAAGCCUCCUCCAAAUAAUGAAAUUAACCUCGAGGAAAAUAACGCGAGAAGAAAAUGAAUUAAUGAUGAAAGCUCUGUUAAAGUUACCAAAGGAUUCACUGGAGACCUUGGAACAGAUGCUACUAUGGCGCGAGGUGUAGAUGAAGUUCUAAUAGGAAAAUGUUGUUUCUUCCGCUGAGCAGUAUGUUGUGAAACUUCUUCUCCA
rnacentral:lncRNA from 1 species